GUCUGUGAAUUUUGCCCCUGGCUUGGCCCACUUGCCCUCUAUGGAAAGCACACUAAAAAUCUCUCUGUUUCAGGUGGACAAGAAUGGAAUCUGGCUAUAAUGUCUACAGCCAGACAUCUAUAAAGACCAAGAUUUAAUACACUCUUCUAGCUACUCAAAGGAAGGAAGGAGGAAGGGGAAAGGAAAGAAGAAAGAAGGGAAAAAAGGAGCAAAAGUACAAGAGACAGAAGAAAGAUGGAAGAAUUUAAACUUCAAAAUAAAGUAAAUAGUUCAUUUCUGGAAUAUUUGUAGGCCCCCUCCCAAAAAAAGAAACCAAAUGCACCACAAAAGAUAUUUUUGUAAUAAAAAUAAAAGUUGUGCCUUAUCUUGGAA
rnacentral:lncRNA from 1 species